rnacentral:rRNA from 1 species
GACGAACGCUGGCGGCGUGCUUAACACAUGCAAGUCGAGCGGUAAGGCCCUUUCGGGGGUACGACGAGCGGCGAACGGGUGAGUAACACGUGGGUGACCUGCCCUCAGCUCUGGGAGAAGCCUGGGAAACCGGGUCUAAUACCGGAUAUGACUCCAUGACGCAUGUUGUGGGGUGGAAAGCCUUGUGCGGCUGAGGAUGGGCCCGCGGCCUAUCAGCUUGUUGGUGGGGUGAUGGCCUACCAAGGCGACGACGGUAGCCGGCCUGAGAGGCGACGGCCACACUGGGACUGAGACACGGCCCAGACUCCUACGGGAGGCAGCAGU